rnacentral:lncRNA from 1 species
AAUGAAUUUGUUGAGGUGGCUUUGGAAAGAGAGAGGAGCUACGAUUGAUAGGUAUUCGAUGUCGAUUAGCAUUUGGAGAUUGGAAUCGGAAGGGGAGGAAGACGAUGGGAAUUGGGUGGGAUUUUUGAAGUUACGGCGGCGACGGUGGUGGCGACGGAGGGCGCAGGUGGUGGCGACGCCAUUCCGGCGGUGGAAACGAGGAUGUGCAGAAGAAAUGAAUGAUAGGGAGUAAUUUACAGGGCAGUUCAUUACUGAGGUUUUUNN